AUUGAACGCUGGCGGCAGGCUUAACACAUGCAAGUCGAGCGGGCGAGGUUGCUUCGGUAACUGAGCUUGCGGCGGACGGGUGAGUAAAGCUCAGGAAUCUGCCUAUUAGUGGGGGACAACAUUUCGAAAGGGAUGCUAAUACCGCAUACGUCCUACGGGAGAAAGCAGGGGACCUUCGGGCCUUGCGCUAAUAGAUGAGCCUAAGUCGGAUUAGCUAGUUGGUGGGGUAAAGGGCCUACCAAGGCGACGAUCUGUAGCGGGUCUGAGAGGAUGAUCCGCCACACUGGGACUGAGACACGGCCCAG
rnacentral:rRNA from 1 species